rnacentral:rRNA from 1 species
GAUGAACGCUGACAGAAUGCUUAACACAGAAUAAAUGAUUGGGUGGCGGACGGGUGAGUAACGCGUAAAGAACGUGCCUCACAGGUAGGGACACCAUUUGGAAACGAAUGCUAAUACCUAAUACAGUGAGAGAGCUUGGCGUCCCAUUAGCUAGUUGGAGAGGUAAAGGCUAACCAAGGCGAUGAUGGGUAGCCGGCCUGAGAGGGUGAUCGGCCACAAGUGGACUGCGACACGGCCAUUACUCCUACUUGCGGCAUCAGUGGGGAAGAUUGGACAAGGGACCAAAGUCUGAUCCAGCAAUUCUGUUUGUACGAUGAAGUUUUCGGAAUGUAAAGUCCUUUCAGUUGGGAAGCGUUACCAACAGAAGAAGUGACGGCUAAAUACGUGCCAGCAGCCGCGGUAAUUC